AUUUAAGUAGUUUAAAAAAAACAUUUUAUUUUCAAUAAAAAGAAGAGUAUUAAACUCCUUAAAUA
rnacentral:tRNA from 1 species